GGCUGGUUAGCUCAGUUGGUUAGAGUGUGGUGCUGGUAACACUAAGGUCAGGGGUUCAAGUCUCCGUAUUGGCCA